CAUUGUUGAGUCCAUUCACCGAUCCCUCCAGGAAAAAGAGGAAGGUUACUGAUUUGCAUGCACAGACACCUCAGCCCCGUUUUGAUCCAACAAAACCCGUGGCCAUGGACGAUGUGAAGGCUAUCAUACAACUUUGCAGGGCUUGGAAAACUGACAUCAGUGCGGAGCUGGAGCUCGAACCAUUUGAAGUUGGGGCAGAUUUUUUUUUACAAACUGUUAGAUGAAACUGCAUGGAUGAGCUCGAGGCACCUUGACAUGGCCAUGUUUCUAAUACGCAAAAGACAACUCUCUCAUCCGCAACUAUUUGGAAGGGAGUGGACAACCGCCGAGUUUUGUCUGCAGCAAUUUUUACAGCCGUUUGCAAUGCCAAGUGGGAAACGAGUCACGAGGAAAC